GUAAAAGUCCCUUGUGAUGCAGUCCUUCAGAAGUGAUUGUUAUUAACAGUUUAGUGAAUAUCUACCAUGUUUUUUAAAAUGCACAUUUAGAAUGUACUUAUUAGAAUGUAGACAUUCUAAUUUUUUUUUUAAUUGCAUUUGAUCCCUCUUCCAGACACUCAUGUCUUUCUGACUAUAUAAUCUGAGGAACUUCAGCUACAUGAUUCCUGGAUUUUUGCCAUGGAGGUCUCAGAGCUAUAUAAUUUGGAUGAUUGAGAUGGAAAAACCUCUGGAAAACCUUUAUUUGUGUUGAAUAAGUAUUCCUUGAAUCCUUUAUCAGCACCAUGGCUUAUAUUUUAUUUGCUCUGCCCAUGGUAACUUCAUGUCAAUGAGUUGGCUAUCGGCUUUGUGAAAACAGAUCCCAGCUCCCUGUAUGCUCAGUGGUCAGAGAAAUGGAGAUGUAAAGCCAGGCUUACUCAUACAUCAGCCUUUAUCUUUCCCGAAGUAUCUCUACACACAAGCUCUAUUGCUACACUUCCAUGCACUCUACCCCAUUUCUGCUCUGUCUUUAUUUCCUUUUAACUCUCCAGCAGUAGUGAUUUGCAAUUUGCAUAUACACAUCUACACUUAAAUUCUCCCAAGUGUUGAAAAAGUGUAUCAAAGUCAAUUAUUUUGAUGUAUAAUUUUGUGCAACUGAAACUCACAGUGGAAAUGAGUAUUCUAAUUUCAGUAUUGAGGACAACUGAACAUUUGGAUCAAGAAC
rnacentral:lncRNA from 1 species